UACCAGCACCCCGAGUAGUCGGGACGAUUAUUGGGCCUAAAGCAUCCGUAGCCUGUUCUGCAAGUCCUCCGUUAAAUCCACCCGCUUAACGGAUGGGCUGCGGGGGAUACUGCAGAGCUAGGAGGCGGGAGAGGCAAACGGUACUCAGUGGGUAGGGGUAAAAUCCGUUGAUCCACUGAAGACCACCAGUGGCGAAGGCGGCUUGCCAGAACGCGCUCGACGGUGAGGGAUGAAAGCUGGGGGAGCAAACCGG
rnacentral:rRNA from 1 species